rnacentral:rRNA from 1 species
GAUGAACGCUAGCUACAGGCUUAACACAUGCAAGUCGAGGGGUAACAUGAGAAAAGCUUGCUUUUCUUGUUGACGACCGGCGCACGGGUGAGUAACGCGUAUCCAACCUGCCUAUAACUAGGGAAUAACCUUGCGAAAGUAAGACUAAUACCCUAUGAUUUCCUUUGAUGACAUCAGAUUAGGAAUAAAGAUUUAUCGGUUAUAGAUGGGGAUGCGUCUGAUGAGCUUGUUGGCGGGGUAGCGGCCCACCAAGGCAACGAUCAGUAGGGGUUCUGAGAGGAAGGUCCCCCACAUUGGAACUGAGACACGGUCCAAACUCCUACGGGAGGCAGCAGUGAGGAAUAUUGGUCAAUGGGCGGAAGCCUGAACCAGCCAAGUAGCGUGCAGGAUGACGGCCCUAUGGGUUGUAAACUGCUUUUAUACAGGAAUAAAGUUAGCCACGUGUGGUAAUUUGUAGGUACUGUAUGAAUAAGGACCGGCUAAUUCCGUGCCAGCCGCCGCAGUAA